rnacentral:tRNA from 1 species
GCAUCAAUGGUUUAGUGGUAAAAUGUAAGUUAAUAAUCGAUGGGCCCCGCGUUCGAUUCGCGGUUGAUGCA